rnacentral:rRNA from 1 species
UACAGAGGGGGCAAGCGUUAUUCGGAAUUAUUGGGCGUAAAGAGCUCGUAGGCGGUGUGUCGCGUCGGCCGUGAAAACCUGCAGCUUAACUGUGGGCGUGCGGUCGAUACGGGCAUCACUGGAGUUCGGCAGGGGAGACUGGAAUUCCUGGUGUAGCGGUGAAAUGCGCAGAUAUCAGGAGGAACACCGGUGGCGAAGGCGGGUCUCUGGGCCGAUACUGACGCUGAGGAGCGAAAGCGUGGGGAGCGAACAGG